UAACCUACGGGAGGCAGCAGUGAGGAAUAUUGGUCAAUGGGCGAGAGCCUGAACCAGCCAAGUCGCGUGAAGGAUGACGGCCCGAUGGGUUGUAAACUUCUUUUGACAGGGAAGAGCAGAAGACGGUACCUGUCGAAUAAGCCACGGCUAACUACGUGCCAGCAGCCGCGGUAAUACGUAGGUGGCAAGCGUUGUCCGGAUUUACUGGGUGUAAAGGGCGUGUAGCCGGGCUGACAAGUCAGAUGUGAAAUCCGGGGGCUCAACCCCCGACCUGCAUUUGAAACUGUUGGUCUUGAGUAUCGGAG
rnacentral:rRNA from 1 species